AUGUGAUCUGGGUUUUUUUUCCUUCAUUUAUUAGAACCAGUCACAUACCUAUUUUCAGGCAUGCUCAGUAAAGACCGCCUAUAGUAUAAAUACAACCCUUGCCUCAUAUGCACUCUGUUUAGUACGAAUACGGAACAUGGCUGGUUCCUGGGUUUUCAUUCUGAUCUUCUGCACCAUCAAUACAGUCCAAACUCGGAGGAAUUUUUCCCAUUCUGUCACAGAACCAGAUGUUUAUCAGCUGGAUGAAGUACUCUGUGUGGAUAUCGGUGACUCGGUUACUCUACAGUGCUGUAUUUUUGGAAAAUAUGAUGGGGUGAUUAUGUGGUACAAGCAACCAAACAGAAAACAGCCCCGGCUUAUGAGCAGAGUAUUUACAAGUAGUGAAGAAAUAUUUUACAAUGAAUUCCAAAAUCUUCGUUUUCAAGUAAAAAGAUCUUCAAACCGCUCUAAUCUGACCAUUUCUAACAUCAUCCAGUCUGAUGAAGCCAUGUACUACUGUGCUACCCCAGCACCAUACAGUGUGUUUGGAAAUGGGACAUAUUUAAAAAUUAAAGGUGAACAUGUUACUAUUGAAUCAGAAACAUCUAAACCAGCUCUGGGUGAUAAUUCAGUGGGCUGUGAACCAACACUGCAUGGAAACAGCACUAACAUGAACACACAACAGAAAACAGGUCAGAUGCCUGAUAAUUCACUAUUAAUUAAUCAUCCUUAAUUCAUAAUAUAGUGAAAUCACAUUUUCAGAAGUGACCAGAUCUCUCCACUCCUCAGUGCUCGGUUUGGGAACGGCUUUGGGUUUGUGUGCACUUCUGAUUUUCUGUCUCAUUUAUUUCAUACUGAGGAGAAGAAAAUGGGAUAAAAGUAAGUGCUUUGUGAUCAGAUAAUAAUUACUUCCAUACAGUUUUAACAAAAAGACUAAUAGGUGUGUUUCUGUGUUCAUAGCAAAAGCAUCUACAGAAUUUUCUCCCGGAGCGAUGCAGGUACGUGUGCAGAUCAGUAAACAAUUCAUACAAUCUACAGUAUAAUGUAAGUAAAGACUGUAUGAUAGACUAUAGUUCUGUAGAUAGCACGCAUAAAGAUGAGCCUAACAUGCAUGACCAUUAAAUGCUUUUACAUUUAUUUACACCUGUAAUUUGUCUACAUUUAAUUUAUACAGUCUCUUUGAUCAGCUGUGUACUAUAAUUUCAGCUUCAUUAUUAUUAUUAGUAGGAAGCAAGCAAGCAAGCAAGCACAACUUUAUUCAUCACACACUUGUGAAAUUCCUGUCUGCGUUUAACUCAUCUGAAGCAGUGAACACACACAUGCACACAUGUGAACAAUGAGCACACACACACAUACCCAGAGCAGUGGGCAGCCAUGCUAACAGCGCCCGGGGAGCAAUUGGGAGUUCGGUGCCUCGCUCAAGGGCACCUCAGCCCAAGGCCAUCCCAUAUUAACCUAACCACAUGUCUUCGGACUGUGGGGGAAACCGGAGCACCCGGAGGAAACCCACACAGACACGGGGAGGACAUGCAAUCUCCACACAGAAAGGCCCCCGCCAGCCGCUUGGCUCGAACCCAGAACUUUCUUACUGUGAUGUGACUGUGCUAACCACUACACCACCGUGACACCCCUAAUAGUAGUAGUAGUAGUAGUAGUAAUAUUAGUAGUAUUAAUAGUAAUAGUAGCCAUAGUGAUGAUGGUGGUAGUAGUAGUAAUAUUAGUAGUAUUAAUAGUAAUAGCAGUCAUAGUGGUGGUGGUAGUAGUAGUAGUACUAGUAGUUAUAUUGGUGGUGGCAGUAGUAAUAUUAGUAGUAUUAAUAGUAUUAGUAGUCAUAGUGGUGGUGGUAGUAGUAGUAGUUAUAUUGGUGGUAGUAGUAAUAUUAGUAGUAUUAAUGGUAAUAGUAGCCAUAGUGGUGGUAGUGGUAGUAGUUACUGUAUAUUGGUGGCAGUAGUAUUAAUAGUGGUGGUGGUAGUAGUAGUCUAAAGUCCUUCCCGUGCCAUAUGGCACAUCGGGCGGCGCCGAUCUCCAUUUCUGCAGCCCUCGGCCUCUCACCUAUUACAUAGCUAGGGUUACAGUGGGGGGCCAGUCCUCUGGUAACCACGAGAGUUUAACUCCCCUACUCACAUCUGUAUUGCAGCGUGCCUUGCCAGAUGGUAGUAAGUACCAUUUUUAUGAUGGUCUUUGGUAUGACCUGACCGUGAAUAGAACUCACGAUCUCCCGAUCGAGAGGCGGACACGCUACCACUAGGCCACUAGCCGGUCGGUGGUAGUAGUAGUUAUAUUGGUGGUAGUAGUCGUAAUAUUAGUAGUAUUAAUGGUAAUAGUAGCCAUAGUGGUGGUAGUAGUGGUCGUAGUUAUAUUGGUGGUAGCAGUAGUAAUAUUAGUAGUAUCAAUGGUAAUAGUAGCCAUAGUGGUGGUAGUAGUGGUAGUAGUUAUAUUGGUGGUAGCAGUAGUAAUAUUAGUAGUAUUAACAGUAAUGGUAGCCAUAGUGGUGAUGGUGGUAGUAGUAGUAGUAGCAGUAGUAGUAAUAUUAUUAGUAUUAAUAGUAAUAGUAGUCAUAGUGGUGGUAGUAGUAGUAGUUAUAUUGGCAGUGAUAGUAGUAGUAGUGGUGGUUGGAAUAUUAAUAGUAGCAGUAGUAGUUGCAGUAAUAGUAGAAGUUGAAGUAGUGGUAGCAGUAGUAUUAAUAGUAGUAUUCAUACUGUAGUAGUAGCGGUAGUGGUAGUUGCAGCAGUAGUAGUAGUAGCAGCAGCAGCAGUAGUAGUCAUAAUAGUUGUAGUAGUGGUAUUAUAUAUGUUAUUUAUUCCCUCCACCAGGAAUCUGAAGCAGAAACACUGAAUUAUGCAGCGUUGAAAUUCUCCAAGAGGAAAGCCGGAGUUGAAAAAAGGAAAGCUGAUUCAUCACAUGAGUAUGUGUACUCCGAAGUGAAAUAUAGCUGUAAUACAUAAAAUUAAUGAUUCAUAACACAUCUUUCUAACAAUUUAUCUUAUCCCUUUAAUUUAAUUUAAUUUAAUUUAAUUUAAUUUAAUUUAAUUUAAUUUAAUUCCAUUGAAUUUAAUUUCCUGAUUACUACUACUGAAAACAGCUCCUGUUUUGCACUUUGUACAGAUUUUGUGGCAUUGUUUAUAUGAA